GGAAGGAUCAUUACUGAAUUGUCAAACGGGCUGUUGCUGGUCCUCAAAUGGGGACAUGUGCACGCUCUGUUUACACAUCCACUCACACCUGUGCACCCUCUGUAGUUCUACGGUAUGGGGGACCCCGUCUUCCUUCCGUGGUUCUAUGUCUUUACACACACACUGUAAUAAAGUCUUAUGGAAUGUAUGCCGCGUCUAACGCAAUACAAUACAACUUUCAGCAACGGAUCUCUUGGCUCUCGCAUCGAUGAAGAACGCAGCGAAAUGCGAUAAGUAAUGUGAAUUGCAGAAUUCAGUGAAUCAUCGAAUCUUUGAACGCACCUUGCGCCCCUUGGCUAUUCCGAGGGGCAUGCCUGUUUGAGUAUCAUGAACACCUCAACUCUCAUGGUUUGCCGUGAUGAGCUUGGACCUUGGGGGUUUUGCUGGCCUGUGGUCAGCUCCUCUCAAAUGAAUCAGCCUCCCAGUGUUUGGUGGCGUCACGAGUGUGAUAACUAUCUACGCUCGCGGUUGUCCACCAGGUAACCUUUGGUGACAAAGGUUCGCUGGAGCUCAUAGAUGUCUCUCCUCAGCGAGGACAGCUUUUUAACGU
rnacentral:rRNA from 1 species